CUUCUCUGAACUCUCUCUAAAGUAUCAAUAUCCUUCAAGAGAUAUGGUCUCUAGUACGGCAUACAAUACUCCAAGUAAGGUCUCACCAGUGUUCUGUACAAUGGCGUGAGCACUUCCCUCUUUCUAAUACCUCACCCUAUACAACCAACCUUUAUGUCAUCAGAAAUAAUUACUCCUAAAUCCCUUUCCUCAGAUGUUGAGGUUAGGACUCUAUCAAAAAUUCUGUACCCUGCCCAAACCUGAAUUCACUAGAUGUCUGUGAUAUUAAAGCGUUGAUUGACUGACUCUUUGGAAGGAUUGCGUUAACUGAAGUUCUAAUAUAUGACCCUCCCCCAUGCUACACCCCUCUUCAUCCCGAAGACAUUAAUCCCCCCAUUCCACCACGUCUGGACACCCCACCACCACCACCCCCUCCUUUUUUUGUGUUUUUCUCUUCUUU